UUCAGUACUGACAGCAAGGACACGA
rnacentral:piRNA from 1 species